CAGAGACCUGGCCUUCCUGGCAGAGGUAGGCACUGAGCCAGUGUGAAGCCGACAGGGGCAGCCUGGUUCCCAAGCCCUGCUUGUCCCCACUGUCCCACCUGGAGGACCAGAUGACAGAGACAUCUUGGGUACACGCAGAUGCAAAGGCAACGGUGACAAGCAUCCCUCCCUCCACUGAGGGCGUGUGGCUAACCGGGGUCCUUGAGACCCCGAGCAUCCACACCAGCUCUGAACCAUUCACAUGGGUGGAAGGGAAGCCUGGGAUUCAGAGGAAAGCGGAUCUUUGUGUGGACGAGGCCAGUGAACAAGAAAACACACUCUGUAGUCCCAAACAGGGUCCAAACCCAAUGCCCGUCAGCAGAGGGCUCAGUGAGACAGCAGGGUGCGUCUGCACCCAGCUAGAAGGGCCCACGGGCGCGACCACGACACUGCCAGCAACAUGUGCACACGAAUCACAAAGGCAGAAUGCCAACAGUCCCCACUCCCUACCGGGUGGUGUCCCUGUACGUGCAGGUGCAGCCAUGUCUGGUCUUUAUACAGUUACAUGUACGUGUUCACGUACAUGUCCUGAUGGAGCCAUCCCUGCAUGGGGUAUUAAAGUUUUUAUAUGUUUAUACCUGUCUUUUAGACGUGUAUCUUCUAUGCCAACAGCACAGCAAGGAAAGAACUGGUUGGCUGGCAAAUUAAAAAGAGACUCCUUGUUCACCCUUUGAGUGUCUUAGUUUGGGCAGUUGUAACAGACCACAGACGGAGCGGCUCACCCAACACUUAAUCCUCCCAGUGCUGGAGGCUGGACGGGCAGAUCUGGGGUCAGGUGAGGGUCCACCUCCUCCUGGUGCACAGACAGUGUCUUCCCUGUGUCCCUGUGUGGAGGAGGAAGGGCCAGGAGUGCUGUGGGGUCUCCUCUGUAAGGACCCUAACCCCAUCACAGAGGCUGCACCCUCACGACCUCCUCUCCUCACAAAGCCCCCCUUCUGAACUGUCACCUUGGGGCUUAGGUUUCACCGAAUGAAAUCGAGGGGGACACAGACACAGCCUAUAGCACUGGUGAACAUAUAAUCCACCAAAAAUGUAUGUGUCUUGAGCUGCCGUCCUAAGACCUGGUAAGUCGGUGUUCCUCCUCUGAGCCACAAAGGCAGCAAGUAACUGAGUCACUGUUUUCUCAGUUCUCUCUGGGGAUUAUGACCUGACCCCAUCCUAGCUGCACAGAAGAGGAAGUAAUUCCCCUUGUAUCACAUCUGAACUCCUGCCAGAUAAGCAGACUGGCACAGGCUCCCAUCGCAGCAACCCCUCUCAGCCCCUCCCACCUGUGGGAAGGGGCAGGAAAGAGGGCACACGGUGCCCCCCACACAGCGACACUCAGGCGGCCCAGGAAGUGAACGACAGGCAGAGCCCUCCACGUGGCCUGUCCUCCUGGUCCUUAGGUAAACACAGCUCACCAGGAAAGCAGGGAAGACAGGGCAGGGGUUGGGGCGGGUGGGCAGGCAGGGCAAAUCAAAAUGCAGAUGAGGACAUGAAAAGGAGACCAGACAUUACUGAAGAGAUACGAAGUCAAAUGGGAGAAGAACCACAUGCAAGAGAGAAAGGUUUAGGACAAAACGAAUGUAAACGCUGUUGCGUCCAGAUGCGAGUUUCACGAGGAAACACAAGACGAUGGUGGGGAACGCCAGCCGCAGCAGUGCCCCCGGCACAGAACAAAACCUCUUCUCAAGCCCACACGCACACACGUGGGGACAAAGGACAGCACGCACGUUUACACCUGCUGAGAAAGACCGGUUCCAGGAGCGUGGCAAGAGCCCAUGUUUUCAGCACGCCUCUGGGCAGCAGUGGAGGCCGGAGGGAGACGUCCUAAGGGACGAUCACUGCGUCUAGAAUUUUGUGCCACAGGUGACAUGUGAAAGCAAAAAACCGCAACAAGAAAUAAGAGCCACUCUCCGACCGUGGAAAGCGUCUCUCAUGCUGCGGAGGAGCUCGUCCUGCAAGUGCUCCGCUCUAAAUCGGCCGAACAGGGAGGGGACCGUUCACACACACAGCAUGCACUCUCUACAGAACUCCUAGCCCAUAUACUGCAGAGUGAGCACUGCACUCGGAAGCGCGGAAUCCGGUGUCUUGGGGGACAGCUUAAAACAUUAAAAGUGAUAAAUUGUGAAGAGCAAAAAUUAUGGUGGAGAGAGAACGAGUUGGGAACUGCUUCUUUUACUUGUAACUUUAUAGGGCUUUUUUAACUGGAAAAAUAAAAAACAAGAAAAACACUAGGAACGGUUGGCAUAUAUAAUAACAUCCAGUGACCUCUCCCAGCCUGGCACUCAGACAACAGAGAAAAAUAACAGGCAUCCAGAUUGACAAGGAAGAAGUAAACUUUCACUAUUUGCAGAUGACAGGAUACUCUAUGGAGAAAAUCUGAAAGACUCCACCAAAAAAUGGCUACAACUGAUAAAAAUAAAUUCAGGAAAGUGGCAGGAUACAAAAUCAACAUAAAGAAAUCUGUUGCAUUUCUAUGUACCAAUAAUAAGGCAGCAAAAACAUAAAUUAGGAAAAUAAUUCCACUUACAAAUGCACCAAAAAUAAUAAGAUACCCAGAAAUAAACCUAACCAAAGAGGUAAAAGAUCUGUACUCUGGAAACUAUAAAACACUGAUAAAAGAAACUGAAGAAGACACAAAGAAAUGCAAGGACAUCCCAUGCUCAUGGAUAAGAAGGACAAAUAUUGUUAAAAUGUCAAUACUACCCAAAACAAUCUACAGAAUUAAUGCAAUCCCUAUCAAAAUACCAACAGCAUUCUUCACAGAGCUAGAACAAACAAUCCUAAAAUUUGUAUGGAACCACAAAAGACCCCAAAUAGCCGAAGAAAUCUUGAAAAAGAAAAGUAAAGCUGGAGGCAUCACCAUUCAACUUCGAGUUAUAUUACAAAGCUAUAGUGAUAGAAACAGUAUGGUACUGGCACAGAAAUAGGAAGUAUAUCAAUACAACAGAAUAGAAAACCCAGAAAUGGACCCACAACUAUAUGGCCAACUCAUCUUCGACAAAGCAGGAAAGAAUUUGAUGGAAAAAAAGACGGUCUCUUCAACAAAUGGUGCUAGGAAAACUGGAGGGUGGCAUGCAGAAGAAUGAAGAACUGGACCACUUUCUUAACACCGUACACAAAAAUAAAUUCAAAAUGAAUGAAAGUCCUAAAUAUGAGGCAGGAAACUAUCAAAAUCCUAGACAAGAACACAGGCAGCUACCUCUUUGACAACGGCCACAGUAACUUUACGAGGCACGUCUCUGUAGGCAAGGGAAACAAAAGCAAAAGUAAACUACUGGGACUAUAUCAAAAUAAAAAGCUUUUGCACAGUGAAGGUAACAACAAAACUAAAGGCAACUUUGCAAAUGAUAUAGCCAAAAAGGAGUUAGUACCCAACCCACAUAAAAAAUUUAUCAAGGGCGCCUGGGUGGCUCAGUCGGUUAAGUGUCCAGGUCUUGAUGUCAGCUCAGGUCAUUAUCUCACUGUUAGUGAGUUUGAGCCCUGCAUCAGGCCCUGUGCUGACAGUGCAGAGCCUGCUUGGGAUUUCUCUCUCCCUCUCUCUGUCUCUGCCCCUCCUCAGCUUGCUCACUCGCUCACUCUCAAUAAAUAAAUACAUACAUACAUACGUACAUACAUACA